GUGGGGAAUAUUGGACAAUGGGCGAAAGCCUGAUCCAGCCAUGCCGCGUGAGUGAUGAAGGCCCUAGGGUUGUAAAGCUCUUUCACCGGUGAAGAUAAUGACGGUAACCGGAGAAGAAGCCCCGGCUAACUUCGUGCCAGCAGCCGCGGUAAUACGAAGGGGGCUAGCGUUGUUCGGAAUUACUGGGCGUAAAGCGCACGUAGGCGGACAUUUAAGUCAGGGGUGAAAUCCCGGGGCUCAACCCCGGAACUGCCUUUGAUACUGGGUGUCUCGAGUCCGGAAGAGGUGAGUGGAAUUCCGAGUGUAGAGGUGAAAUUCGUAGAUAUUCGGAGGAACACCAGUGGCGAAGGCGGCUCACUGGUCCGGUACUGACGCUGAGGUGCGAAAGCGUGGGGAGCAAACAGGAUUAGAUACCCUUGUAGUCC
rnacentral:rRNA from 1 species